rnacentral:rRNA from 1 species
AUGGCGCAGGGAUGGGCAGAGAGGAUGGCUAAGGGAUGGGCAGACGCUAGCCACCUGGAUGUCUUUUGCUGGGGAACGGCCUGGAUCAGCCCUCUCUUUUCACUCUGGGCGACAUGCAUCUCGUGGCGCCACCGCGCGCUGGGCGGGGGUGGCCGGCGCCCGGAACCCACCAUCGCCGCGCUCAUGGGCAGCCUCGCCUGGCUCGCGUACGGAUUGGAAGUCAUCGACGACACGGUCGAGCCGCUGUCUGUCAACGCCUGGGGCGCCACGUUCCAGGCGGUGUACCUCGUCACUUUCCUCUUCCUGUGCACUGGUGAGGAGCGACGCCGUGCUAUCAGGCCGAUGGUGACCGCUGGGAUCUACGUGGCCCUCUUGCUCACCAUCGGCGGCGUCGACUCCGGCAGCUUCAAGUUGCUCUGCAGCAUCGCGGGUUCGGUGUCCGCCGCCGCGCCGCUGUUCACCUACUGGUUCCUGGACCAAGCUACGCUUCCACCCUGGGGCAUGUCUGCCUUCUCCAUCGUACACUGCUUCGCGUGGUGUAUACGGGGCGUCACGAAGCCGGUACCACAGCAUGAGGACUUAUACAUGGCGACGCAGAAUGGGAUCGGCGCUUUCUGCUCCUUGGUACUAGUGUUCCUGGCCUGGUUUUUGCCCGGCGCCCUGGCACCGCCCAUGGAAGAGGACAUGGAUCUCCUUGCGGCACUCAUCAACCCAGACGUCGUGGAAGUGGAACACCCUCUGUUGCCCGGCGCCCUGGCACCGCCCGUGGAAGAGGACAUGGAUCUCCUUGCGGCACUCGUCAACCCAGACGUCGUGGAACUGGAACACCCUCUGUUGCCCGGCGCCCUGGCACCGCCCAUGGAAGAGGACAUGGAUCUCCUUGCGGCACUCGUCAACCCAGACGUCGUGGAAGUGGAACACCCUCUGUUCCCCGCUCCCCCACCGCCGCCGAGACGCAGGAGCACCGGCGCUGACGUCGACGCGCACCACGACCCACCGCCGCCGAGACGCAGGAGCACAUGA